UUUCUACUUCUCGUCUCUGUUGCACUGAGUACUAGCGUUGACGCACUAUGCAAAGACUGAUCAAAAUAGGUGGCUCACCAAAUCAUUAAUACAUCAGUUCACAGAUAUAAAGCUAGCCUGCGAAUGCAUAUUCCUGCAUUUUCCUGUACACAUUAAAAUUUAAUUAAAAAUGUCAAAA